UACGUAGGGUGCGAGCGUUGUCCGGAAUUAUUGGGCGUAAAGAGCUCGUAGGCGGUUUGUCGCGUCUGCUGUGAAAACUCGGGGCUUAACUCCGGGCCUGCAGUGGGUACGGGCAGACUAGAGUGCGGUAGGGGAGACUGGAAUUCCUGGUGUAGCGGUGAAAUGCGUAGAUAUCGGGAGGAAUACCUAUGGCGAAAGCAGGCUACUGGACCGUCACUGACUCUGAUCUGCGAAAGCUAGGGGAGCAAACAGG
rnacentral:rRNA from 1 species